UACAGAGGUCUCAAGCGUUGUUCGGAUUCAUUGGGCGUAAAGGGUGCGUAGGCGGCGCGGUAAGUCGGGUGUGAAAUCUCGGAGCUUAACUCCGAAACUGCAUUCGAUACUGCCGUGCUUUGAGGACUGGGAGAGGAGACUGGAAUUUACGGUGUAGCGGUGAAAUGCGUAGAUAUCGUAAGGGAAGACCAGUGGCGAAGGCGGGUCUCUGGACAGUUCCUGACGCUGAGGCAC
rnacentral:rRNA from 1 species